AUCGUAACAGUAUCAGUAAUCCAUAUUUUUAUUUUCUUCUCUUUCGGUCACACGACGCCUCGUCUCUUUCUCCUCGAACCUUCUCUAUCUCUUUCUCUUUCUCUCUUAUUCUAUUCCAUCGCAUAGCUCAAUCGAUCGUGCUUCCUCUUUCUCGCAAUUUCCCUUUCAAUAUUCAAUUUCAUCAUCGCUAAGGUAAUCCUUUUCAAUUUCUCUAUUGUUUUUUCUCCCUUUCAAUCCUUUCCUUUAUUUCUAGGGUUUCGAUUCAAAUCCCAAUUUUCCUUCCUAUUAUUGUUUCGCAUCAUUUUUCUCUCUUUGUUUUGUAUUGUUCCUUGACCUCUAGUUGUCAUCGAAUCUCACUUUUGUUUUUCAAUUUUGAAAUUCGGAGCAUUCUUUGUGUUUUGGGUUUAGGUUUAGGUUUAGGUUUAGGGUUCUGAUAAACAAAUACAAAAAAAAAGUUUGUUGGGAAGGAAGGAUUAGGUUUUUCCCUCAGAAUUUAUCAUUUUAGAUAGAUAGAUAGAUUUAUAUGGCUGCUGGUAGACAUGGCCGUUAUCACGGAAGCGAGUUUAAGGAUCAUGAGUCCAAUUUGGAAGUUAAUAGGCGCGGGUUUUCAAAUUCCAAAGAGUAUGAUCGGGUUAGGAAUGGUGGUCACGAUGAUGUCAGGAGUGGGAGUAGAGAUUCCAGAGAUAAGAUUAGGAUGAGGCAGAAGGAUGUUAGGGAGAGAGAAACGGUUGUUAAUGGUAGUUAUCGGUCAGCUUCUAGCCGGAGUGACUCUGGAAGCAGUGGCAGCCUUGGCCCUCGUCGGUGUGGUUUUUCUGCAAAGACAAUUGAUAGAGAGCCUGGCGAGCUUUCUAGUGAGAGUGGGUCUGAUGGUGCUACUGAAUCUGAGACUGGGUUGAAAGACUGUGAUGUUGCUGUGUUUGAAGGGAACAGGUCACGGUCCCCUCCUCCACAGGAGAGGAAAAGGAAAUUUUCACCCAUUGUGUGGGAUCAGGAUGACAAGGAAGUGAAGGGUUCAUCCAAAGUUAGGGUUUCCACUACAACGGUGACUGCUCUCCCUCCUCUGCCUCAGCUUUCAAAAUCGGCUGUUCUGUCUCCGAAUUCUUCUUCUGGAGAAGUUCAAAUACGUUCUGUUAGGAACAGAGAAACUGGGGAUCUUGAGUUGCCCGCAGAAGCUCAGGUUACUGUUCCUUCUCCUUCCAGAUUGCAGUCCCUGUCACCAAAAGAGACUUUGGGUAAUGAUCAGGAAGCUGAGCAGCCAGAAGGUGAAGAUUAUGUUCCAACUCGUAAUAUAUCAUCUUCAAGGUGGGCAGCAGGAGAUAACUCUCCUGUUGACGAGGGUGAAAUUCUCAAUGAUGAGGAAAUGCCUAAAAGGAAGAGGAGGCUAUCUCCUGAGUUGUUCGAGACUAGAGGGAGGAAUAAGUUAUUGAGCCCCAAUGAAUCUAAAGUAGGUAGUUUUGAAGGAGCUAGAGCCAAAUCAUCUGAUUCGGAAGAAAGAAGUGUUAUCCAUGGGAGAACGUCUAGUGGCGAUGGACAUCCUGGUAUUGAAUCAGAAAAGGAUGACUAUAUGAACAUUGAUCUUCGAGGUACGAAAAGUGACGCCAGUAUUAGUCACUCUGAUACAGAAUCUGAAGAUGACGAUGAUAGGCAGGAGACUCCAGAACCUCCAGCUCAACCUCAAAGAACUGUCAACAUGCUUCAGGGUUGUAGAAGUGUUGAUGAGUUUGAGAGACUUAACAAGAUUGAUGAAGGAACAUAUGGUGUUGUAUAUAGAGCGAAAGAUAAGAAGACUGGGGAAGUUGUAGCAUUAAAGAAGGUCAAGAUGGAGAAGGAAAAAGAAGGUUUCCCACUGACUUCUCUUAGGGAAAUAAAUGUUCUUCUCUCUUUUCACCACCCAUACAUAGUUGAUGUCAAGGAAGUAGUGGUUGGAAGUAGCCUUGAUAGUAUUUUCAUGGUUAUGGAAUACAUGGAACAUGAUCUUAAAGGAUUAAUGGAGUCAAUGAAGCAGCCGUUUAGCCAAAGUGAAGUGAAGUGCUUAAUGAUCCAACUUUUAGAAGGUGUGAAGUAUCUUCAUGACAACUGGGUACUUCAUAGGGAUUUGAAGACUUCAAACCUGCUUUUAAAUAACAGGGGUGAGCUAAAAAUUUGUGAUUUUGGGUUGGCUCGUCAAUAUGGGAGUCCUUUGAAACCAUAUACUCACCUGGUGGUUACUCUUUGGUACAGGGCACCCGAACUUCUUCUUGGGGCAAGACAGUACUCAACAGCUAUUGAUAUGUGGUCUCUUGGUUGUAUAAUGGCCGAACUUUUGUCUAAGGAACCACUUUUCAAUGGAAAAACGGAAUUUGAUCAGCUUGACAAGAUUUUCAGGAUACUUGGCACUCCAAAUGAAACAAUUUGGCCGGGCUUCUCGAAAUUGCCAGGAGUCAAGGUCAAUUUUGUCAAGCACCAGUAUAAUCUUCUGCGUAAAAAGUUCCCUGCCACGUCAUUCACUGGAUCUCCAGUUCUUUCUGAUUCUGGAUUUGAUUUGUUGAACAAGCUUCUAACUUAUGACCCUGAAAAGAGGAUCACGGCUGAAGCCGCUCUCAAUCAUGAAUGGUUUCGUGAAGUUCCUCUUCCCAAGAGCAAAGAAUUCAUGCCUACAUUUCCUGCUCAACAUGCUCAGGACAGGCGGUUGCGUAGAAUGUACAAGAGUCCAGAUCCUUUAGAGGAGCAGCGGCGGAAGGAGUUGCAGCAAGGUGAUUUGGGCACUGGUGGAAUUUUUGGUUAAGAUUGGAGCUAUUUAAACCUAUGUCUAAACAGUCAUUCUUACAUGCCACACUGAUUGUUUGCAUUGAUGAGGUGAGGGCAUGCACUGAACGAAAGUUGCAAGCUUUGUUUGUUAGACAAUCACUCCUGCUGUUUUUUAGCAGGAACUUGUUGGUUUGAGCAGAGAUGUAAUGUAUUCAUUUACCUCCUGGAAUCAGAUUUUUCAGGUGGUUGGUGUGAAGUGGAAGAGGGCCUUCUAUGCAUUUCAUUGGAGAAAAUGACGGAUUUAUUAUGCUUGAAAGCAGUAUCGACGGAAGCAGGUUGAGGAGGAUAUCAGGAUAUCCUAAAGUAUAGGAGAUCAAUUAGUUGUCCUUCAGGCUCUCUAGAGGUACAGUGCAAAUCUUGGUUUGUCAUUUUAUGUUUUGUACUACUUGCAUCUCCAUGGAAUAUUAGAUCAGAGUUGUUUGCUUUUCUAUUUUGUUACACAUGCUGUAUUAAUUCAGAGUAUAGACCAUCAUCAAGCAUCUUCAUUAAAUGGGAUAUGUGGUGGUUUAUGACAUUUAUAGUAAUUCUUCAUUAAAUGGAUUUUCUGUCAAAUUCACUGACUAGUCUAUCGAGCAUCUUCCAGAGCAAGGCCGCAACAUUGUUGUUGGGAAACUCAUCUUCCGUAAGAGUCAUUGUUAUGAAAUUUCCCCUCAGCAAACUUAAUUCAUAUUGACUAGGAUUUGUAUAUUGUAUAUUUCUGAUUGCUUCUGGAUCUUACUGACCAUGUUUUUACGUUAGGCUCGGUAAUAUGUAGGUUUACUAUGCUAAAUUCCAUGUUUCAAUUUCAAUCAUGCUUCAAAAAUGGCGCAAGGUUUCCUGGCUUUUGUAUGCUUGCUACAAGACACCCAAAUUGGGUAAUUUACAAGAUACCCAAAUUCUCGAUUCUAUGUUCUGAUUUUCUAUGAUAAACUAAGUGUCUCCAUUUGUUUAAUAACUCCCAUGUCUAUGUUCUGACUUCCUAUGGCAAACCAGGUGUCUCCAAUUGUCUAAUACUUGAACAUUACAAAGAUUGUUUCGUCUGAUGCUACGCUGUUACAUCAAACUAUGCCUUCUUUGUUCCAAUGAAAAAUUAAUGGUUUUGAAAGUUGAGUGUUUCUGUUACGUCAAACCAUGAUUUUUUUCUUGAUGCUUUAAUCAUCUAUUACUCACAUUAAAGGAAAUCUAAUUUUAACAACUACA